CCACACGACUCUCGGCAACGGAUAUCUCGGCUCUCGCAUCGAUGAAGAACGUAGCGAAAUGCGAUACYUGGUGUGAAUUGCAGAAUCCCGCGAACCAUCGAGUCUUUGAACGCAAGUUGCGCCCGAGGCCACCCGGUCGAGGGCACGCCUGCCUGGGCGUCACGC
rnacentral:rRNA from 2 species